UUGGAGGGCAAGUCUGGUGCCAGCAGCCGCGGUAAUUCCAGCUCCAAUAGCGUAUAUUAAAGUUGUUGCAGUUAAAAAGCUCGUAGUUGAAUUUCGGGAUCAAAUUGUUGGUCGUGCCUCGGUACGCACUGGUAUUAUUGGUUCCUACCUUCUGAAGAACCGCGAUGUCAUUAAUUUGGUGUCGUGGGGAAUCAGGACUGUUACUUUGAAAAAAUUAGAGUGUUUAAAGCAGGCUUACGCUUGAAUACAUUAGCAUGGAAUAAUGAAAUAGGACGUUUGAUUCUAUUUUGUUGGUUUCUAGGAUCGACGUAAUGAUUAAUAGGGAUAGUUGGGGGCAUUAGUAUUCAAUUGUCUGAGGCGAAAUUCUUGGAUUUAUUGAAGACUAACUACCGCGAAAGCAUUUGCCAAGGAUGUUUUCGUUAAUCAAGAACGAAAGUUAGGGGAUCGAAGACGAUCAGAUACCGUCGUAGUCUUAACCAUAAACUAUGCCGACUAGGGAUCGGAUGAUGUUAAUUUUUUAAUGACUCAUUCGGCGCCUUACGGGAAAC
rnacentral:rRNA from 1 species